UUAUGCAUUUAAAGUUAAUCGGCGAUUUUGGUGGCCGAUUAAUAUAAACGUUUGCUAUAUAAUUGUCCAGUUGGCUAUACAUUAAUGGCACGUCAAAAACAAUAAUGACUUGUAUUGAUAGUUUCGUAUGUUAGUUUUCGUGGAUUAGCAACGAAAAGGUGCAUGUGUACGUUUGUGAUGAGGAGAAUAUUCUGACGGGUAAAAUAGUCUAGCUAAAGUGUGAGCCACAAAAUAUCAGACUGCGUCGAAACAGGGCCCCAGGGUAAUUUACAGUGGGGACAAUCAGCAGAAGUCUUGGAUGUCAAACUGAGCAAUGACAAAACACUCAUGCAGGUGCUGAGUGCUGUUUCUGAGUGACAGCCGUGCGUGUGGAACUGGGAGGGGCCACAGACUGAGCCACCGGAGACGCUGUCACGGUUUCCACGGGAGACCACAGAGCGUGGGAACCGUGCAGGGGGACGCUUCCCGGGAUACAGAAGGCAGCCGAACGGUGGCGGGCGGAUCCUUCCGGAACACGCGGCUCCCAGCGCCAUACCGCCGCACCACACCCCCGGGGACUUCCUGUGUGAGCCCCUACCCUGAGACCCUAAGCCCCGCCCCCACGCCCCCCACGCC